GUCUCUCUCAAGCGCGGCAUCAGAAGCCUCCUCCCUGAAGCUCUUUCUCUCCAGUGGCUCUAAACUUCUCUCACGUCUUUCGUCUUCUUCUUCUUCACUCUCUCUGAAUCGCACAUUGCAAAUCUCCAGUCUCGAUUCGCUAUUCUCAACUCAAAGAUCCUAUAUGAUUUCUCAAAAUCGGAAUAGAAAUUUCAGUGGUAAUCUUCAUCUCUCUCCCCCUCUCUCUCUCUCUCUCUCUCUCUCUCUCUUUCUUCUUUGCUUCUUCUCCUAUUUCAUCUGUGCUCUGUGUGUUUGGUUGUCGAGAAACCGUGCAAAAAUGUGAAAGAAUUUCAUCAACUCAUAUACCGAGGCCGCUGGAGCCAUCAUCGAUAUCAGCUUCCAUACCCCAUUUCUUAAGGAUCAUUCUAGAUAAGACUUCUAAAAAAUACCAGAAUUAAAAUUCCAAUGAAGUUUUUGAUGAGAUAUGGAGAGAAUUUAUCAAGUCCAGUACAUCUUAAGCUUCCAAGUGGUGCAGAAAUGGAAAUAGAACUCAAAAGAUCCAACGAUGGUUGGGUUUGGUUUGACAACGGUUGGCUCGAGUUCUCAAAGUUGUGCUCUCUUGACUAUGAAAUUGAUAUCCUAAGCCCGAGAUGGAAGAAACUGAUUCUGAUUCUGAAGAAGAUGAUGAUGAUGAUGAGUCAGGCCAUGCCAGAGGAGAAAUCAAAAGAGAGAAUGAUAUGCCAACAAAGAAAGAUUUUGGAGGCUCAUCGAGCACUCGAAUAUUCAUUAAACGAACACCUGAUGUCCUUGGGAGGGCGCAUCCAUUGACUAAAAGUGAAAAAGCUCUGGCUCUUCAGAGAGCUAAUGCUUUCGAAUCUGAAUAUCCUUAUUUCUUGGUUGCCAUUCAACCGGUUUAUAUCCACCGAGGCUACCUGCAUUUGCCAUCCGAGUUUGCAAGGAGACAUCUUGUCAAGCGGCGUGCACGUAACAUAAUCCUUAAGAUUUUAGAUGGAAGAACUUGGCUUGUCGAAUUCAAGUAUGAAACUUCAGUAGCUCGAUUCCAGCGUGCCUGGUUGGCGUUUGCAAGGGACAAUAAUUUGAAAGUCGGUGAUGUGUGUGUUUUUGUGUUGAUUGACUGCAAUGAACGUUUAUUUGAUGUUUUUUUUUAUCACACCAACAACGCUGAAGAUUGUCCCAUGUCACCAGUCCAUGGCGGAGGAGCAAUUGAUUGAGUUGAGAAAAGGAGAAACCCCAUAAUUAAAGUUGAAACUGAUUGCACCACAAAUUAUGAAAAUGGCAAGUACAAAAGGUUGAAGACUGGUGGGCAGGUUACUCAAAGGCCUUUAAAUUCAUCUUCAAGGUCUCUUGAAGCUGCUAACAGGUUCACCCCAAAGAAUCCAUCCUUCAGAGUCACUCUGGGGUCAGCACGCCUGAUAUUGCAUGUACCAGUUACAUUUGCCCUUUGUUUCGUCAAAAAGAGGAAGCAAACCGUGACUCUUCAGGUCAGAGAGAGAUCGUGGCCUGUGAAUUUGAUUGGUCAUACUAAAGAAUCAGGAGCUAAACUUUGUGGUGGCUGGCGUGAAUUUGUGACGGAAAAUUGUUUGAUAGAAGGAGGUGUUUGUAAAUUUGAGCUCAUUGAGAGAAAUGACAUUGUACUGAAAGUUCACAUUUUCAGAUGUUGAUUAGGCAAAGUUAUGUCAUUUAAAGAGGGAUGCAGAGAGCUCAAUUAUCACAUUUUGCUAUGUACAAUGGACCACUAUUUGCUGUAGUUAAAGACGAUAUCUUGAUACUGGGAGAUCACUUUGUAAUUUUAAUGGUGUUAGUUGUU